rnacentral:rRNA from 1 species
UACGAAGGGGGCUAGCGUUGCUCGGAAUCACUGGGCGUAAAGCGCACGUAGGCGGCUUUCUAAGUCAGGGGUGAAAUCCUGGAGCUCAACUCCAGAACUGCCUUUGAUACUGAAGAUCUUGAGUUCGGGAGAGGUGAGUGGAACUGCGAGUGUAGAGGUGAAAAUUCGUAGAUAUUCGCAAGAACACCAGUGGCGAAGGCGGCUCACUGGCCCGAUACUGACGCUGAGGCACGAAAGCGUGGGGAGCAAACAGG